rnacentral:rRNA from 1 species
UACAGAGGUCUCAAGCGUUGUUCGGAUUCAUUGGGCGUAAAGGGUGCGUAGGCGGCGCGGUAAGUCGGGUGUGAAAUCUCGGAGCUUAACUCCGAAACUGCAUUCGAUACUGCCGUGCUUGAGGACUGGAGAGGAGACUGGAAUUUACGGUGUAGCGGUGAAAUGCGUAGAUAUCGGGAGGAACACCUGUGGCGAAGGCGGCCCCCUGGUUGGAUACUGACGCUGAUACGCGAAAGCGUGGGGAGCAAACAGG